UCCGAAUUGGUGUAGUGGCUAACAUUUGACGCUCUCACUGUUUCUUCUUCUGAAGAUUCUCUGACCCGUCAAGCCCGGGGUUCGAUUCCCCGAUUCGGAG
rnacentral:tRNA from 1 species